rnacentral:lncRNA from 1 species
AAUGCUGCACAUUACCGAAGCUUCUAUUAAAAACUUUUUGCUUUUGCCAUUAUUUUAAGGGAUGGAAAGAUAUAGAAACUUUUAGUUUUGUGUUCAACAUUCUCCACAAAGAUUGCCAACAUACAUAAGCUUCACAUUACCAUCUGUAACAUAGACUUGGAAGUACAUGAAGUUGAACCACUGCACUACAAAAAGCAUAUCAACAUGUAGAGCAUCAGGUGUCUCUGAACAAGGAAUGAAGUGAUCCAGCAUAGAUUAAGUCUACCACCACUAAGAAUCUUCAUCCCUUAAAGUCUUACUUAAUCUAACAUUAGAAUCUUCAUCCCUUAAAGUCUUACUUAAUCUAACAUUAAAAUCAAUACUUAGAUCCUUCCAGGUUUAUGUGGUAUCGGUAAUGACAUAUAUAGACCAACAAGAAUCCUACCAACAUCCCUCUUCUAUUUAGGUGAAUAAAACCUAGGGUAAACUCCACAUAGACCUCUUGUGGUAUGAUAUUUUCUCACAUAACACCCAAAGGUUCUUUUUUCCCAAAUAAAACCUUGUGUUUUACUAUUGUUGCUAUAGGGGGUAACAGUGUUAAAUUUUCACUAAAAAGAUAAAGAUCCUUAAUUUUCACGAGAAAGACGAUAAGACCCUUAUAUCUAAAGGCCUUAUUUUU